rnacentral:rRNA from 1 species
GACGAACGCUGGCGGCGUGCUUAACACAUGCAAGUCGUACGGUAAGGCCCUUUCGGGGGUACACGAGUGGCGAACGGGUGAGUAACACGUGAGUAACCUGCCCACAACUUUGGGAUAACGCUAGGAAACUGGUGCUAAUACUGGAUAUGUGCUCCUGCUGCAUGGUGGGGGUUGGAAAGCUCCGGCGGUUGUGGAUGGACUCGCGGCCUAUCAGCUUGUUGGUGGGGUAGUGGCCUACCAAGGCGGCGACGGGUAGCCGGCCUGAGAGGGUGACCGGCCACAUUGGGACUGAGAUACGGCCCAGACUCCUACGGGAGGCAGCAGUGGGGAAUAUUGCACGAUGGGCGCAAGCCUGAUGCAGCAACGCCGCGUGCGGGAUGACGGCCUUCGGGUUGUAAACCGCUUUCAGCAGGGACGAAGCUUUUUGUGACGGUACCUGCAGAAGAAGCACCGGCUAACUACGUG